CAAGGAUUUCCACCGCAGCUCGAGGGGCUGAGGGCCCAUCUCCAAAUACCAUCACAUUGGGGGUGAGGGCCUCAACAGAGAAAUUUGGGGAGGACACAGACAUGCCAUCUACGAUACAGGUGGAAACCCAUCUGUUCCUCACCACUGGCGGAGACCACAAUCUGCAGCCAUGGAGACAGUGGAAUGCUUUUCCUACAACGGGAUCCGUCUGCCCUAGAAGAGGGGGCAAGGAAGGAAAACAAAGCUGCAAGCACUGAAGAAUAUUAACAAGAGAAUAAGGUUGCCAGAUUUAACAAAUAAAAAUAUAAAACGCCGGCCAGCUUUUCACUGUGCCCACUGGUCACCCCUUGCUGGGCCUCCAGGGGCCUCAGUAAGGCUGGCCGAGGUACCUGCUGCCCUGCCUGGAACCCACCUCCUUAAGAAUCCUGACUGCCCCACAGGAACCAUGGGCUCCUCAGAGAAAUGGCUGAUUCUAGGACUGGGGCAAGAAAUAUACAAGAUAAAUCUACAUAAAGGAAGUACUAAAAAAAAAUCUCCAAAUCCUACAUUAAAGGGACACAGGAGCCAACUGGAAGAGCUCCCAACGGCCAAAGCCAGAACAACUUGAGAAACAAAAUAAAGUAGGGUCGAGUCAUGACCCAUAAUGACAUAGGUGUCCAUGAGUCAGUGCUGACAGAAAUCAGUGACUGAAUAAACUAAGU
rnacentral:lncRNA from 1 species